UAAGUCAUUAAGAACAUUAAACGUUAAAAGAUUGGCCACAAGAAUCAAUUAAUGCAACCUUUAUUGCACUUACCUGAUAAGACCAAGCUACACCCUAUGAUCACUGAUUUUUUUUUCCCCACUUAGAAAGAUUUAGUAGUGUCUUCUACUUCAACUACAUUUCUCUUCUCCCCUGUUUACCACACUGGGUUUGAUCUGUUAAGAGAUGGGAAUAUUGAGUAGUAUAUUGGGAUUUUGUGGUUUUGGAGUAGGAACGUCAAUUGGGAUUGUAAUUGGGUACUACAUGUUUAUCUAUUUUGAGCCAACUGAUGUCAAGGAUCCUGUAGUCCGUCCUUUGAUUGAACAAGACUCGAAAACUUUACAACGUCUGCUUCCAGAAAUACCCCAGUGGGUGAAAAAUCCAGACUAUGAUCGGGUUGACUGGCUUAACAAAUUGAUCGAGAACAUGUGGCCUUACCUAGAUACGGCAAUCUGCAAGACUGCAAAGAAUAUAGCGAAGCCCAUUAUUGCUGAGCAAAUUCCAAAAUACAAAAUUGACUCUGUUGAAUUCGAAACACUUACCUUGGGCUCCCUGCCACCAACUUUUCCAGGAAUGAAAGUUUAUGUCACUGGUGAGAAAGAGCUGAUCAUGGAACCGGUAUUGAAGUGGGCUGGGAAUCCAAAUAUUAUCAUUGCAGUUAAAGCAUUUGGUCUGAAAGCCACAGUUCAGGUGGUUGAUUUGCAAGUAUUUGCCACUCCACGUAUCACCCUAAAGCCUUUGGUUCCUUCAUUUCCUUGUUUUGCCAAUAUAUAUGUGUCUCUGCUACAGAAGCCACAUGUUGACUUUGGAUUGAAAUUGCUUGGAGCUGAUGCUAUGUCCAUUCCUGGCCUGUACAAAUUUGUCCAGGAGCUUAUCAAAGAUCAGGUUGCAAGUAUGUAUUUAUGGCCAAAAACCCUAGUAGUGCCAAUCGUGGAUGCUUCAAAAGCCAUGAAGCGACCUGUUGGGAUACUCACUGUGAAGGUUCUGAAGGCAACGGCGCUUAAAAAGAAAGAUCUGUUAGGGGGAUCAGACCCAUAUGUGAAAUUAAAGCUUACUGAAGAUGCGCUUCCUUCAAAGAAAACAACUGUUAAAAACAAAAACUUGAACCCCGAAUGGAAUGAGGAGUUUAAUAUCACCGUUAAGGACCCGGAAUCUCAAGCCUUGGAGAUUCUUGUCUACGAUUGGGAACAGGUUGGCAAACACGACAAGAUGGGUAUGAAUGUCAUUCCAUUGAAAGAUCUGACACCGGAUGAGCAAAAGGUUAUGACUCUUGAUCUGCUAAAAAAUAUGGAUCCAAAUGAUGUUCAAAAUAAGAAAUCACGUGGACAGAUUGUUGUUGAAGUGGUAUACAAACCUUUUAAGGAUCUCGAGGCAGAAAAGGAUAUAGUUGAUCCAAAUGCAGUGGGAAAAGCUCCUGAAGGAACACCUGCUGGUGGUGGUCUAUUAGUAGUUAUUGUACAUGAAGCUCAAGAUGUUGAAGGGAAGCACCACACAAAUCCUUAUGUUCGAUUACUUUUCAAAGGGGAGGACAAAAGAACUAAGCAAGUGAAGAAAAAUAGAGAUCCAAGAUGGGGGGAGGAUUUUCAGUUCACGCUAGACGAACCACCUACAAAUGAAAGACUUCAUGUGGAAGUUCUUAGUUCCUCAAAGAUGUCUCUACUUCACUCUAAGGAAAACCUGGGUUAUGUGAUUAUAAACCUAGCAGAUGUCGUGACAAACAGGAGAAUCAACGAGAAGUACAAUCUCAUUGACUCCAGGAAUGGUCAAAUCCAAAUUGAGCUGCAAUGGAAAACAUCUUAAGGGCACACUCAUUUUGUUUUUCAGUAGGUAUUUGGUCAAAACAUAAGACAUUUCCUUCUGCUUUUUGUUUGUAGUGAUUUCAGUACGAAAGUGUGCACUCUAAUAAUUGACUCUGUAGAUUACCGGAGCAUGAACUCUGUAAAUCUAAGCUUGCCGAAACAUUUCCAGAUAUGAUCAGCAAAACUUUACAGAUAAGUAGCUUGUGAGGCUGUGACGAAUAUUGUAGCUUGAGUUACCAUGUCCAUCCCUUAAAGUUGGACACAAAAGGCUAGGCUGGAAGAACAGAUUCAACAGGCCAGCAGCCCAAAGGCAUCUGAACAAAUAAAUAAGUGAAGGCUUACCCUCGAGCCCGUUAAACAACAUAUAUAUAUAUAUAUAUAUAUAUAUAUAUAUAUAUAGACUAAUAAUAUUCCCAUUUAGAAGCUCAGAUUUGUGGUUCUGCUAUCGAUUUCUUGUGAAUCUUUUCAUGUCUCCAUGGGUUUUGAUCAGUUAUGUCGGAGCAAUGAGGCUUCUAACCGAAGUCCGCUGAGUUCUAUGGCUUCCUAUCGCACCAAUUCUUUGAAUAGAGCUUUAGCGUUCAAUGAUGAAGGCAAAUUGGUGCCUGAACCCACUACAAUGUUGCCGAAUAUAAGAUCAAUCGGAGAUUAACCUGGACGGAAGUGAUCUUCACCGAAAGAGCAGAACACCUUCCGUACCUGUAACAUUUUUUGAGCGGGAAGGUCACGAUAGCUACAAGGACGUGGCAAAUGGUCAUAGUUAUUAACACCAUACGGCCGUCAUAUCGAUCAGUAAAUUGCCGACUCAUAACCUGGCUAGAGUAAGCUUUUAUUUUGAAUCAUUUUAAAGUAUUUAUAUUUCAAAUAUUUAUUUUUCA